GACGAACGCUGGCGGCGUGCUUAACACAUGCAAGUCGAACGGAAAGGCCCUGCUUUUGUGGGGUGCUCGAGUGGCGAACGGGUGAGUAACACGUGAGUAACCUGCCCUGGACUGUGGGAUAACUUCAGGAAACUGGGGCUAAUACCGGAUAGGAGCUCCUGCUGCAUGGUGGGGGUUGGAAAGUGUCGGCGGUUGGGGAUGGACUCGCGGCUUAUCAGCUUGUUGGUGGGGGAGUGGCUUACCAAGGCUUUGACGGGUAGCCGGCCUGAGAGGGUGACCGGCCACAUUGGGACUGAGAUACGGACCAGACUCCUACGGGAGGCAGCAGUGGGGAAUAUUGCACAAUGGGCGGAAGCCUGAUGCAGCAACGCCGCGUGCGGGAUGACGGCCUUCGGGCUGUAAACCGCUUUCGCCUGUGACGAAGCGUGAGUGACGGUAAUGGGUAAAGAAGCACCGGCUAACUACGUG
rnacentral:rRNA from 1 species